UUGCCUAUGAAGAAACCUAAUCAUCAAAAUACCAUCUUUCGGGGCUGAUUAGCUCUUGGGGCUGUGUUGAUAUUCUGCAAUUCUGAGGCAA